rnacentral:rRNA from 1 species
AUUGAACGCUGGCGGCAGGCCUAACACAUGCAAGUCGAGCGGGGUUUUCGGACCUAGCGGCGGACGGGUGAGUAAUGCGUAGGGAGCUACCCGAUAGAGGGGGAUACCAGUUGGAAACGACUGUUAAUACCGCAUAAUGUCUACGGACCAAAGUGUGGGACCUUCGGGCCACAUGCUAUCGGAUGUGCCUACAUGGGAUUAGCUAGUUGGUGAGGUAAUGGCUCACCAAGGCGACGAUCCCUAGCUGGUUUGAGAGGAUGAUCAGCCACACUGGAACUGAGACACGGUCCAGACUCCUACGGGAGGCAGCAGUGGGGAAUAUUGGACAAUGGGCGUAAGCCUGAUCCAGCCAUGCCGCGUGUGUGAAGAAGGCCUUCGGGUUGUAAAGCACUUUCAGUAAGGAGGAAGCGUUGAGUGUUAAUAGUACUCAGCGUUGACGUUACUUACAGAAGAAGCACCGGCUAACUCUGUGCCAGCCGCCGCCGUAAGAC